AUAUUAUUUCCCGGAGCCACCCCUCUCACGGACCGGACGCGGCUAAUGGUGGGUCCCGAGGCCGCCGCUUCCGCCGGCGCGAGUGGCUCUGCUAGCCGCUGUCCUUGGUCGUGGGGUCGUUGUUGGCUCCGAGGCCGCAGCGUUCAUGAUGAACUUACUUCAGGUUGUGCGUGACCACUGGGUACAUGUACUUGUCCCUAUGGGAUUUGUCUUUGGAUAUUAUCUAGACAGGAAGAAUGAUGAAAAGCUAACUGCCUUCCGGAACAAGAGUCUGUUAUAUAAAAGGGAAUUGAAACCUAAUGAAGAAGUCACCUGGAAGUAAUGGCUGCAGCUGAAUUACAGAAUGUUCACAUUUUUUAAAUUAUAAGAGAAAUAAAAACACUCAUUAUUUAAUUUGAA